rnacentral:rRNA from 1 species
GAUGAACGCUGGCGGCGUGCCUAAUACAUGCAAGUCGAGCGAACAGACGAGGCGCUUGCUCCUCUGACGUUAGCGGCGGACGGGUGAGUAACACGUGGAUAACCUACCUAUAAGACUGGGAUAACUUCGGGAAACCGGAGCUAAUACCGGAUAAUAUAUUGAACCGCAUGGUUCAAUAGUGAAAGCCGGUUCUGCUGUCACUUAUACAUGGAUCCGCGCCGCAUUAGCUAGUUGGUAAGGUAACGGCUUACCAAGGCAACGCUGCGUAGCCGACCUGGGAGGGUGAUCGUCCACACUGGAACUGAGACACGGUCCAGACUCCUACGGGAGGCAGCAGUAGGGAAUCUUCCGCAAUGGGCGAAAGCCUGACGGAGCAACGCCGCGUGAGUGAUAGAGGUCUUCGGGUCGUAAAACUCUGUUAUUAGGGAAGAACAAAUGUGUAAGUAACUAUGCACGUCUUGACGGUACCUAAUCAGAAAGCCACGGCUAACUACGUG